rnacentral:rRNA from 1 species
CACCGGAGAGGGAGCCUGAGAAACGGCUACCACAUCCAAGGAUGGCAGCAGGCGCGCAAAUUACCCAAUCCCGACACGGGGAGGUAGUGACAAUAAAUAACAAUACGGGGUUCUUUAGGAUCUCGUAAUUGGAAUGAGUACAAUUUAAAUCUCUUAACGAGGAACAAUUGGAGGGCAAGUCUGGUGCCAGCAGCCGCGGUAAUUCCAGCUCCAAUAGCGUAUAUUAAAGUUGUUGCAGUUAAAAAGCUCGUAGUUGAAUUUCGGGGUUAGUAGGUUGGUCAUGCCUCUGGUAUGUACUGGUCUCACUGAUUCCUCCUUCCUUAUGAACCGUAAUGCCAUUAAUUAGGUGUUGCGGGGAUUUGGACUGUUACUUUGAAAAAAUUAGAGUGUUUAAAGCAGGCUAACGCUUGGAUACAUUAGCAUGGAAUAAUGAAAUAGGACGUUCGAUCUUAUUUUGUUGGUUUCUAGGAUUGACGUAAUGAUUAAUAGGGAUAGUUGGGGGCAUUAGUAUUCAAUUGUCAGAGGUGAAAUUCUUGGAUUUAUUGAAGACUAACUACUGCGAAAGCAUUUGCCAAGGAUGUUUUCAUUAAUCAAGAACGAAAGUUAGGGGAUCGAAGACGAUCAGAUACCGUCGUAGUCUUAACCAUAAACUAUGCCGACUAGGGAUCGGAUGAUGUUAAUUUUUUAAUGACUCAUUCGGCGCCUUACGGGAAA